UGUGUUUUGAGAAAACAGCCUGAGCCAAUCGUGAUGUUUUACAUCAUGUAAAACAUCACGAUAGGCUCAGGCUGUUUUUCUCAAAACUAU
rnacentral:miRNA from 1 species